AUUGAACGCUGGCGGCAUGCCUUACACAUGCAAGUCGAACGGCAGCACGGGAGCAAUCCUGGUGGCGAGUGGCGAACGGGUGAGUAAUAUAUCGGAACGUGCCCGGUCGUGGGGGAUAACGUAGCGAAAGCUACGCUAAUACCGCAUACGAUCUACGGAUGAAAGCGGGGGAUCGCAAGACCUCGCGCGAUUGGAGCGGCCGAUAUCAGAUUAGGUAGUUGGUGAGGUAAAGGCUCACCAAGCCGACGAUCUGUAGCUGGUCUGAGAGGACGACCAGCCACACUGGGACUGAGACACGGCCCAGACUCCUACGGGAGGCAGCAGUGGGGAAUUUUGGACAAUGGGCGCAAGCCUGAUCCAGCAAUGCCGCGUGCAGGAUGAAGGCCUCGGUU
rnacentral:rRNA from 1 species